ensembl:lncRNA
AAUCAGGGUAAAGAGAAACAGAGCUGAGAUUAGAAGAUUCAGGUUGAUUAGAAAAUAUGAAUACUUUUGGAGAGUAAUGGAGGACUGUCAUGGAUAUGAGGAUGGAGCACAUGUAGGAAAACAGAAACUGAUGGGUUUGGUUCACCCAAAACCCCUCAAAAAAUAUCCCUUAGCCACAGUACGUCUGUGUGUGCUGUGCUAAAUCUCAACAUUUCAACCCACAUACUUUAUACUGAAUUUGAAUUAUAAGCCAGCGGGAACGGCUGGAAACCCCACAGUUGCAUUUCUCUGCCUACCAAAGCGCACUUUACAUCCAUGUCUCUCUGCGGGUAACUUUUUUACUAUUUGAACAUAAAAAUGUUAUAAUUUUAUAAAUAACAUAUCCUUUUAAGCUAUUGUGAGAAAUGAUAUCACAGUGUGAAUUAAGCCAAAAGCUCUCAGCGACUUUUAAACACCGACUACCAAAUUCUAAUCAGUUCGUGCUUGAACUUCCAAAUUUAAAGACAAUCCCCGAAAACCUUCAAAAGGUAUCAUGUGCUUGAUUAAGAUGAACAAAGUUGUCCAUCUUAAGGUAUACAAACUUAUGGACACAUGGAUGGGCAGAGAACUGCAGACACCCGCUGCUCUCAGUGGUGUGAAGGGGAAAAAAUAGGUGAUGUCAUGUAACAGAUGUUUGUUAAACAGACAUACUGUUUUAUUUGUUUUCCUGUACAAGGAAGAUUAACAUCCAGUUCCUGCCUACACCAAUGCAGCUGAUAUAAGUACUGAUACUGUACGUUUACUUCCUAAGUUAGAAUAGUUCCUAUUGAUGUACAAGGAUAGUUGAAACCUCCAAAGAGGUCAACUUACCUUAAGAUGAAGUUCACACGUGGCCAGAUGUGAUGAGAACUCUUACCUGGAUUGUGACAAAACCCAUCAGUUUGCAAUGUCUGACGAGUAAAAGUGAAAGGAACAUGUAUCAAGGUUGAAAAGAAAUCAUCCUGAAAUACUGUAUCAACUAAUGGAAAUGAAGGAAAAUAAAAAAAAAAGGUUGGGUAAAAGACAAGAAAGGGUUCCACAUUAAAAAAAAAGUAAGUAAAAGGAUUUUGAUGCAGUAAGUGAGGCUGGUCUGUGAGGCUCUUAUAGGCUUCAUGUUUUGUGCAAUAAAGAAGCUGAUACAGAAGUGCUGUAUUCAGCAACAGUUAAUAUUACAGUUCCUUAUAUAUUAGACAAAUUGUUGCACUGUAAUGUUAAAAAAAAGGAAAUCAAAUGAGCUGCUUUGUUCAGACUGUUUAGAUUUGUGAUUGAGUCGCAGAGGAAGCCUUUGCUCAUUUCACUGAUUAUUCCUGAGUAUUAGUUCUUUAUGUUCACUGCCUCAAAAUUCUGCGCGCUGCACCGAAAAUGUGAGCGCUCGAGUGAAGGACGAAAUGUAACUUUUAAAACGUCGACCCUCAGCUCUCGAAUCCGAGGCAGAGAAAACAAACGACAGUGUUUGAAUUUUUAUCUCUAUAUGCAAAACGUCUGAAAUUAUUUUUUAGCUGUUAUAAAUAGAUGAAACGGACUCUUUGCAUUGGGAUUUUAGCACAACUGUGAAAUUCAAAUGGAUUUUACACAUGGAUAUUCCCACACUCGGUCACUAGAGAGUGCAAAAAAUCCACCUUUUGCACUAUAAACACGUAUUUGGUAUCUAGCCAAUGGAGCGCUCUUGCAGUUUACAUGUGAAGGAAGCGCCGGGCGAACUGUGUUCUCAGAAAUGUUUACAUUUGAUGUCAGGGUUUGUUUAAAACACUGUAUGGAGUUGAUAUUGUGAGACGAAAGCUGAAUGUUUUAAGGGCUCCUGGAAUCUUAAAUAUCACUUCUUUGUAUGUCUCUCUGGUGGGAUUUGUGUGCGUGUGUGUGCGUGUCAAGAUAAUCUUGGGUCACAAAUGUCAUUUAAACCAUAUGAAUUAAUAAACAUCCACACCUGUCUUGUCUGA